rnacentral:antisense_RNA from 1 species
GCAAUAGUGAGGGGAUUUUUUGGUGUGGCUAGUCGCCUAUUAUUUAUCAUCGCGCUUGCGUAGCCAAUGCGUAAACAGCGCAAUAAUACAAC